rnacentral:rRNA from 1 species
ACUCAUUAAAAGAGUGCGUAAUAGCUCACUGGUCGAGUGACUCUGCGCGGAAAAUGUAACGGGGCUAAGCAUCUAACCGAAGCUUAGGAUUGUCGAAAGACAGUGGUAGGGGAGCGUUCCAUGUGGGGUGAAGUCGUAGCGGAAGCAGCGGUGGACUGCAUGGAAGUGAGAAUGCCGGAAUGAGUAGCGAGAAUUAUGUGGGAAUCAUAAUGGCCGAAAAUCUAAGGUUUCUUGGGGAAGGUUCGUCCGCCCAAGGUAAGCCGGGAGCUAAGGCGAGGCCGAAAGGCGUAGUCGAUGCACAUACGGUAGAAAUUCCGUAGCCACCGAACUUUAAGUCAGAGGGACACUUUUGGAUAGCGGAACCCGGGCGUUGGUUGACCCGGGCGAAAGGGAGCGAAAAUAUAGUAGCGAAGUCCGCGAUGCUGAGAGGCGAGAAAAGCUCUGAUGGAUACUAAGGUGCCCGUACCGCAAACCGACACAGGUAGAUGAGGAGAGAAUCCUAAGGCCAACGGGAGAAGGGUUGUUAAGGAACUCGGCAAGUUGACCCCGUAACUUCGGAAUAAGGGGAGCCUCGAAAGAGGCCGCAGUGAAAAGGCCCAAGCAACUGUUUACCAAAAACACAGGUCUAUGCUAAAUCGAAAGAUGACGUAUAUGGGCUGACGCCUGCCCGGUGCCGGAAGGUUAAGAGGAGAUGUCAGCGCAAGCGAAGCAUUGAAUUGAAGCCCCGGUAAACGGCGGCCGUAACUAUAACGGUCCUAAGGUAGCGAAAUUCCUUGUCAGGUAAGUUCUGACCCGCACGAAAGGCGUAAUGAUUUGGGCACUGUCUCAACAGCCCGCCCGGCGAAAUUGUAGUACUGGUGAAGAUACCAGUUACCCGCAACUAGACGGAAAGACCCCAUGGAGCUUUACUGCAGCUUAAUACUGGAAUUCGGUAACCCAUGUACAGGAUAGGUGGGAGGCUUGGAAGCAGGGGCGUCAGCUCCUGUGGAGCCGCCGGUGGGAUACCACUCUUGGAUUGCUGAAUUUCUAACCUGCGGCCGUGAAUCCGGUCGGGGGACACUGUUAGGCGGGCAGUUUGACUGGGGCGGUCGCCUCCUAAAGAGUAACGGAGGCGCUCAAAGGUUGGCUCAGCACGGACGGAAAUCGUGCAGUGAGUGUAAACGUAGAAGCCAGCCUAACUGCGAGACCGACGGGUCGAGCAGUAACGAAAGUUGGAGUUAGUGAUCCGGUGGUAUGUGAGUGGAAAUGCCAUCGCUCAACGGAUAAAAGCUACCCUGGGGAUAACAGGCUGAUCUCCCCCAAGCGUCCACAGCGACGGGGAGGUUUGGCACCUCGAUGUCGGCUCGUCACAUCCUGGGGCUGAAUUCGGUCCCAAGGGUUCGGCUGUUCGCCGAUUAAAGUGGCACGCGAGCUGGGUUCAGAACGUCGUGAGACAGUUCGGUCCCUAUCUGUUGCGGGCGGAAGAGAUUUGAAGGGAGCUGUCCUUAGUACGAGAGGACCGGGAUGGACGUACCUCUGGUGCACCAGUUGUCCUGCCAAGGGCAUAGCUGGGUAGCUAAGUACGGACGAGAUAAACGCUGAAAGCAUCUAAGCGUGAAACUCCCCCUAAGAUGAGAUCUCUCACCUCGAAAGAGGGUAAGGGCCCAGGAAGACUACCUGGUAGAUAGGCCGGAGGUGGAAGUGCAGUAAUGUAUGGAGCUGACCGGUACUAAUCGCCCGAGGGCUUGACCUA